AGCAGCAUGGCUCAGUGGAAUGAGUCUGGGCUUGGGAAUCAGAUGACAUGGGUUCGAAUCCCGGUUCUGCCA
rnacentral:tRNA from 1 species